rnacentral:rRNA from 1 species
AUUGAACGCUGGCGGCAUGCCUAACACAUGCAAGUCGAACGUGAAAGGGGGGUAACCCCUGAGUAGAGUGGCGGACGGGUGAGUAAUACGUAGGAAUCUGCCCUAGAGUGGGGGAUAACCCGGGGAAACCCGGGCUAAUACCGCAUAUUCUCUAAGGAGUAAAGGUGACUAAGUGCUUUCGGGUAUUUGGUUAUCGCUUUAGGAUGAGCCUAUGUCGGAUUAGAUAGUUGGUAGGGUAAUGGCCUACCAAGGCGACGAUCCGUAGCUGGUCUGGGAGGACGACAAGCCACACUGGGACCGAGAUACGGCCCAGACUCCUACGGGAGGCAGCAGUGGGGAAUAUUGGACAAUGGGCGAAAGCCUGAUCCAGCAAUGCCGCGUGUGCGAUGAAGGCCUGAGGGUUGUAAAGCACUUUCGGUGGGGAAGAAAUACUCAAAGCUAAUAUCUUUGAGGGCUGACGUUACCCACAGAAGAAGCACCGGCUAACUCUGUGCCAGCCGCCGCGGUAAAAC